AUUGAACGCUGGCGGCAGGCCUAACACAUGCAAGUCGAGCGGUUGAAGGGAGCUUGCUCCUGGAUUCAGCGGCGGACGGGUGAGUAAUGCCUAGGAAUCUGCCUGGUAGUGGGGGAUAACGUCCGGAAACGGGCGCUAAUACCGCAUACGUCCUGAGGGAGAAAGUGGGGGAUUUUCGGACCUCACGCCAAUAGCUGCGCCUAGGUCGGGUUAUCUGGUUGGUGGGGUAAAGGCUUACCAAGGCGACAAUCCGUAACUGGUUUGAGAGGAUGAUCAGUCACACUGGAACGGAGACACGGUCCAGACUCCUACGGGAGGCAGCAGUGGGGAAUAUUGGACAAUGGGCGAAAGCCUGAUCCAGCCAUGCCGCGUGUGUGAAGAAGGUCUUCGGAUUGUAAAGCACGUUGAGAGGGGAGAAAGGGCAGUAGGUUAAAACCUUGCUGUUGUGACGGUACCAAAAGAAUAAGCACCGGCUAACUUCGUG
rnacentral:rRNA from 1 species